rnacentral:misc_RNA from 1 species
ACCGGAUUCAACCAUGGCGUUGAACAAUCUACCCAAAGAAAUAGAAACAGCUGUUGGUACUAGUCGGGGCCCCGGAGAACCCGAGUCCGUGUCCGAUGAUGAAAAGGAAGAAAUAGUAGAAGUGGAAGAGAUGGAGAAGCUGGAGUCAGAAGCGAAAGAAAUGGCCAAGAGGAUUCUCGAUUACAGAGCCACUCUACCGGAUCAGCUCAAGGCUACCUUAUCUUCAAUUCUUUCUUCGCAGCGACCUGUGCUUCCCGAAAUGGAUUCUGGGUCGAAUUUUGGACCUUCCGGCAAGUGUAAUCCAGGUUUAGGAGAACGGGUUAAAGCCAGUAAAUCAGCAUUGCUAGCAGAAGGGGACCAUAAGAUUGCUGAGAAAGUUGGUAUUUUGAAAGAUAAAAUUUCCAGCAAUAUGUCGGCCAUGCCUAUUGUACUGAAGAGGAUGAAAGAAUUUAUGUCUAAGAUUGAGAACCUAGAUUCUUAUGAUGGAACCAUACAUCCGGCUUUUAAAAAGAAAAAGACUAGCUGACCAAGUUUGGUUCAUUUGUGCUUGACUUUUUUAUAUUCAGUGUUAGUUUGAAGAGGAAUGACAAAGGUGUUCCUAUGUUGACAGAUAUACAUUGUACAAUGGAUCCACGCAUCCAGCUGUGACAGGAACCAAUUUACCGAC